CGAUCAUAUUGCCUACUGAAUUCCUCUCGAUGAACCCGCGCCCAUUCGGGUCAAAGAGCAGGUAUGCAGAUAC
rnacentral:SRP_RNA from 1 species